GGUUUGCCUUAAGACAGUAUUUACAACGAUUUUAAAUAUAAGGAACCAAUGAAUGAAUACCGGUCAAAGGGCGACUGUCUAUCAGCUGUGUUGAUGUUGAACCUUAACCGUGUCAAAUUUGCGCGGAGCACGACACGUAGAGUAGAGCAUAGGUACCACUGUGAAAGUAUUACUGAUUUAGAGAGAGAGAGUUACAAAAUUAGGUGUGUUCUCAAAUGCGUCCACAUCGCGCGAUGGCUUGGUACCGACUCAAUAAAGAGCGUCGCUGCUGUACAGGCGCCGCGCGACGUCAGUAAACAGACGCUGACAUAAACAAAGUCGCAGACGUGUAACGAAAAUUCAAAACUGAUAUGAAUUACAAUGUCGUGUAAGCAAAAUAAAUAUUAAAUAAAAGCUGACUUCACUAACUUCAUGGUUAUUUUAUACUAAUUUUUAGUGUUAGAAUAAAAAAAAUAGCAUUAUGUACGUAUACAAAAUAUUGAUAAAAUACUGAUUGUAAAAUUUCGAUAUAGUUAUAACUCCCAAUUAAUGUUUAAUAAAUAAUUAAAGCUCUCAAGCUUUAACUAUUUAAAUAUUAAUGUCGAAUAUUACACGAAUAAAUAGAUUCUAAUACAAAAUAAUAUUAGUUUACUUAUGUAUGAAUUAUUUUAUUAUAUAUAAAUUAAUAUGAAAUAAAAAUUUUCAAAUUUGAUUAUAUCGUUUUGAAUAUUAUUUUUCAAAAGAAAUAUAUUAAGAAUUCAUAAAUCUAAUCAAUGUAUUAUAAUACUGUUAUCUAUAUUUAGACAGUAAUUUGGAUAACAUUAGAAAAAAAAA